GAACGCUGGCGGCGUGCUUAACACCUGCAAGUCGAACGGUGAUGCUCCAGCUUGCUGGAGUGGAUCAGUGGCGAACGGGUGAGUAACACGUGAGCAACCUGCCCCAGACUCUGGAAUAAGCGCUGGAAACGGCGUCUAAUACUGGAUACGAAACUGGCCCGCAUGGGCAUGGUUUGGAAAGUUUUUCGGUUUGGGAUGGGCUCGCGGCCUAUCAGCUUGUUGGUGAGGUAAUGGCUCACCAAGGCGACGACGGGUAGCCGGCCUGAGAGGGCGACCGGCCACACUGGGACUGAGACACGGCCCAGACUCCUACGGGAGGCAGCAGUGGGGAAUAUUGCACAAUGGGCGAAAGCCUGAUGCAGCGACGCCGCGUGAGGGAUGACGGCCUUCGGGUUGUAAACCUCUUUCAGCAGGGAAGAAGCGAAAGUGACGGUACCUGCAGAAGAAGCACCGGCUAACUACGUG
rnacentral:rRNA from 1 species